GUAAAAAGAGGGAAAAAUAACAAGAAAAACUUGCAAGUUCAGCAUCAAAAAUCAAAAAAGGCCUCUGUAGGUUGCAGGUCAGUGCGAUUUAAAAACAGUAAAAAAGCAUUGAGGAGUUCAUGGUCUCUACGACCAAGAAAAAAUAAGAAAGUUGCUGCUGUUGUACCACUGCGUCGCUCACCUAGGAAAGCUAAAUACAACUCUAUGCAAAAUAAAAAAGUUGGGGAAUGCAAGAAAGAUAAGCAGGUCAAAUCCAGAAAAGCAACAUAUAAGAAACAAACUAAGGUUACUUCAUGGCGCAAGGAGAGGAC
rnacentral:misc_RNA from 1 species